AAAAACGACAUUCUCCGAGUCCUCCCUCCUAAGGCCUCUUGGGCUAUGGCAGCAGGACCACUGGGUGCGCUUCGGAAACGAGCGCGCCUCCCGGCACGGAAAGGAGAGCGAAGACAGGGCCA
rnacentral:ncRNA from 2 species